CCUACGGGGGGCAGCAGUGAGGAAUAUUGGUCAAUGGGCGCGAGCCUGAACCAGCCAAGUAGCGUGAAGGAUGACUGCCCUACUGGUUGUAAACUUCUUUUAUAAAGGAAUAAAGUGAGGCACGUGUGCCUUUUUGUCUGUAUUUUAUGAAUAAGGAUCGGCUAACUCCGUGCCAGCAGCCGCGGUAAUACGGAGGAUCCGAGCGUUAUCCGGAUUUAUUGGGGUUAAAGGGAGCGUAGAUGGGUUGAUAAGUCAGUUGUGAAAGUUUGCAGCUCAACCGUAAAAUUGCAAUUUAUACUGGCAGCCGUGAGUACAGUUGAGGUAGGCGGAAUUCGUGGUGUAGCGGUGAAAUGCUUAGAUAUCACGAAGAACUCCGAUUGCGAAGGCAGCCUACUAAGCUGCCACUGACAUUGAUGCUCGAAAGUGUGGGUAUCAAACAGGAUUAGAUACCCCAGUAGUC
rnacentral:rRNA from 1 species